AUUGAACGCUGGCGGCAGGCCUAACACAUGCAAGUCGAACGGUAACAGGAAACAGCUUGCUGUUUCGCUGACGAGUGGCGGACGGGUGAGUAAUGUCUGGGAAACUGCCUGAUGGAGGGGGAUAACUACUGGAAACGGUAGCUAAUACCGCAUAACGUCGCAAGACCAAGGAGGGGGACCUUCGGGCCUCUUGCCAUCAGAUGUGCCCAGAUGGGAUUAGCUAGUAGGUGGGGUAACGGCUCACCUAGGCGACGAUCCCUAGCUGGUCUGAGAGGAUGACCAGCCACACUGGAACUGAGACACGGUCCAGACUCCUACGGGAGGCAGCAGUGGGGAAUAUUGCACAAUGGGCGCAAGCCUGAUGCAGCCAUGCCGCGUGUAUGAAGAAGGCCUUCGGGUUGUAAAGUACUUUCAGCGGGGAGGAAGGGAGUAAAGUUAAUACCUUUGCUCAUUGACGUUACCCGCAGAAGAAGCACCGGCUAACUCCGUG
rnacentral:rRNA from 1 species